GCCACUCCCUUUGUAAUGAACCAAACACUGAAGGGAGAUUUGAUGUCCAGGAGCCCACUACAUCUUCUCAAUCUUGGUUCACCAGGGCUUGGCACUGAGAUAUGAGUUAUAUAGCAUAGGAUCUUGGUGGUCAGCAAGAAUAGUGAAAAUUUUGGGGAGGCACAUGGAAGUGAUGAGAACUUGCCUUUGGAUCCAUCAGAGCACAUUUGUGAUGGGCACACGGGUAGGAGGACAGCUCCUCAGCUCUCCAGUCUGAUUAUGUUUCCCAGUGGUCAUCAUAAGCCUGGUUCACAUAUGGAGUGAAUUAGGCCAUUAUUUCUGCCACUGUUCAUCAAAAAAGAAGCCCUGGGCAAAAUUGCUGAUGCUAUCACACGGAAAAGGGCUGACUGUAUACUCCUUCUACUGAGAAAAAAAGUUAACAGUACAACAGCCUCAGGUGGGUCCUUCAGAAGAUAUUCCAGAAGAAGCCACUGUUAUUACAGGAGAUGACAGCUCCA